rnacentral:rRNA from 1 species
GAUGAACGCUGGCGGCGUGCCUAAUACAUGCAAGUCGAGCGAACGGACGAGAAGCUUGCUUCUCUGAUGUUAGCGGCGGACGGGUGAGUAACACGUGGAUAACCUACCUAUAAGACUGGGAUAACUUCGGGAAACCGGAGCUAAUACCGGAUAAUAUUUUGAACCGCAUGGUUCAAAAGUGAAAGACGGUCUUGCUGUCACUUAUAGAUUGAUCCGCGCUGCAUUAGCUAGUUGGUAAGGUAACGGCUUACCAAGGCAACGAUGCAUAGCCGACCUGAGAGGGUGAUCGGCCACACUGGAACUGAGACACGGUCCAGACUCCUACGGGAGGAAGCAGUAGGGAAUCUUCCGCAAUGGGCGAAAGCCUGACGGAGCAACGCCGCGUGAGUGAUGAAGGUCUUCGGAUCGUAAAACUCUGUUAUUAGGGAAGAACAUAUGUGUAAGUAACUGUGCACAUCUUGACGGUACCUAAUCAGAAAGCCACGGCUAACUACGUG